AAUUAAGUAAGAAAAAUGCUUAUUUUAUACAUUGUCAAACAUUAACUUCCUAUGUGAUUUAUUUAAAUACAAAACAAUUCUAUUGAUAACAAAAGUGAUAACUUGCCUGAUGAGCUAACAUCGUACAAUGAGCUUUGAAGGCCUCAACAUAACUCCGGUACAGAAUAUGAUCACUAGUAGUUUCAGACAUAAACAUCAAAUUAGAGUUUUAGACGUACAAUAAAACUCUUUUAUCUCAACGAAAUGAGAUAUAAAUUGCAUAUCCAUAACCAGCUUAAUAUAACCAUCUACUCUUCGUUGUUUCCCCAUAGAAUCAUGCGCUUCCCGAAACCGAACACCGUUCAUCCUACCAAGACCGGUGAGAAGCAUAACAUGAUAAAUAUUCAUAAACUUAGAGACUUGUUCUAAAGCUUUAUUUGCAACGCCAAGUUCAUUCGUUAGUGGACAAAGUCUUUGUAGCACCGUUCCUUCAUUAAUCAAAAAUGGUUUUGUGCUAAGGUGGUUAUCUAUGGCUCCUCUUGGCGUAAGAUUGUCUUUAUUAACACCAUUAAAUAGGUAUUGCAUUGAUACAGAUUUUUUACAACAAUUAUUGAUUAUCUGUUAGUUGUCUAGUUCUGUUAGUUGUCUAGAUAGACCAAUAGUCCAACAAUUAUUAAUUAUCUGCUCCACAAUCUUAUCAAAAAGACGUGGUAAUGAGGUCAUGUAACUAUCAAAACAAUUCUAUU
rnacentral:sRNA from 1 species